GUGCUUUCUUCAGCAGCACUUAUACUAAAAUUGGCACAAAAACAGAGAAGAUUAGCAUGGUCGCUGUGCAAGGAUGACAUGCAAAUUCGUAAAGCAUUCCAUAUUUUU